UGACUGCGUACCUUUUGUAUAAUGGGUCAGCGACUUAUAUUCUGUAGCAAGGUUAACCGAAUAGGGGAGCCGUAGGGAAACCGAGUCUUAACCGGGCGUUAAGUUGCAGGGUAUAGACCCGAAACCCGGUGAUCUAGCCAUGGGCAGGUUGAAGGUUGGGUAACACUAACUGGAGGACCGAACCGACUAAUGUUGAAAAAUUAGCGGAUGACCUGUGGCUGGGGGUGAAAGGCCAAUCAAACCGGGAGAUAGCUGGUUCUCCCCGAAAGCUAUUUAGGUAGCGCCUCGUGAAUUCAUCUCCGGGGGUAGAGCACUGUUUCGGCUAGGGGGCCAUCCCGGCUUACCAACCCGAUGCAAACUGCGAAUACCGGAGAAUGUUAUCACGGGAGACACACGGCGGGUGCUAACGUCCGUCGUGAAGAGGGAAACAACCCAGACCGCCAGCUAAGGUCCCAAAGUCAUGGUUAAGUGGGAAACGAUGUGGGAAGGCCCAGACAGCCAGGAUGUUGGCUUAGAAGCAGCCAUCAUUUAAAGAAAGCGUAAUAGCUCACUGGUCGAGUCGGCCUGCGCGGAAGAUGUAACGGGGCUAAACCAUGCACCGAAGCUGCGGCAGCGAACGUAUCACUUAAAGCGAUUCAGCGGAUUACGAUUGACGGAGCGAAGCGACGUCAAAGCGUAUACAAAGUCGAGUCGGUUUAAGGAUACGUUCGUUGGGUAGGGGAGCGUUCUGUAAGCCUGCGAAGGUGUCCCGUGAGGGAUGCUGGAGGUAUCAGAAGUGCGAAUGCUGACAUAAGUAACGAUAAAGCGGGUGAAAAGCCCGCUCGCCGGAAGACCAAGGGUUCCUGUCCAACGUUAAUCGGGGCAGGGUGAGUCGACCCCUAAGGCGAGGCCGAAAGGCGUAGUCGAUGGGAAACGGGUUAAUAUUCCCGUACUUGGUGUUACUGCGAAGGGGGGACGGAGAAGGCUAUGUUGGCCGGGCGACGGUUGUCCCGGUUUAAGCGUGUAGGCUGGUUUUCCAGGCAAAUCCGGAAAAUCAAGGCUGAGGCGUGACGACGAGGCACUACGGUGCUGAAGCAACAAAUGCCCUGCUUCCAGGAAAAGCCUCUAAGCAUCAGGUAACAUCAAAUCGUACCCCAAACCGACACAGGUGGUCAGGUAGAGAAUACCAAGGCGCUUGAGAGAACUCGGGUGAAGGAACUAGGCAAAAUGGUGCCGUAACUUCGGGAGAAGGCACGCUGACACGUAGGUGAAGUGAUUUACUCAUGGAGCUGAAGUCAGUCGAAGAUACCAGCUGGCUGCAACUGUUUAUUAAAAACACAGCACUGUGCAAACACGAAAGUGGACGUAUACGGUGUGACGCCUGCCCGGUGCCGGAAGGUUAAUUGAUGGGGUCAGCGCAAGCGAAGCUCCUGAUCGAAGCCCCGGUAAACGGCGGCCGUAACUAUAACGGUCCUAAGGUAGCGAAAUUCCUUGUCGGGUAAGUUCCGACCUGCACGAAUGGCGUAAUGAUGGCCAGGCUGUCUCCACCCGAGACUCAGUGAAAUUGAACUCGCUGUGAAGAUGCAGUGUACCCGCGGCAAGACGGAAAGACCCCGUGAACCUUUACUAUAGCUUGACACUGAACAUUGAGCCUUGAUGUGUAGGAUAGGUGGGAGGCUUUGAAGUGUGGACGCCAGUCUGCAUGGAGCCGACCUUGAAAUACCACCCUUUAAUGUUUGAUGUUCUAACGUGGACCCGUAAUCCGGGUUGCGGACAGUGUCUGGUGGGUAGUUUGACUGGGGCGGUCUCCUCCUAAAGAGUAACGGAGGAGCACGAAGGUUGGCUAAUCCUGGUCGGACAUCAGGAGGUUAGUGCAAUGGCAUAAGCCAGCUUGACUGCGAGCGUGACGGCGCGAGCAGGUGCGAAAGCAGGUCAUAGUGAUCCGGUGGUUCUGAAUGGAAGGGCCAUCGCUCAACGGAUAAAAGGUACUCCGGGGAUAACAGGCUGAUACCGCCCAAGAGUUCAUAUCGACGGCGGUGUUUGGCACCUCGAUGUCGGCUCAUCACAUCCUGGGGCUGAAGUAGGUCCCAAGGGUAUGGCUGUUCGCCAUUUAAAGUGGUACGCGAGCUGGGUUUAGAACGUCGUGAGACAGUUCGGUCCCUAUCUGCCGUGGGCGCUGGAGAACUGAGGGGGGCUGCUCCUAGUACGAGAGGACCGGAGUGGACGCAUCACUGGUGUUCGGGUUGUCAUGCCAAUGGCACUGCCCGGUAGCUAAAUGCGGAAGAGAUAAGUGCUGAAAGCAUCUAAGCACGAAACUUGCCCCGAGAUGAGUUCU
rnacentral:rRNA from 1 species